GAUGAACGCUGACCGAAUGCUUAACACAUGUAAGUCGAUGGGGAAGUGGUGCUUGCACCAUGGUAACCAUGGCGGACGGGUGAGUAACGCGUAAGGAACUUGCCUGCGGGACUGGGAUAACAGCAGUAAACUGCUGAUAAUACCGGAUAAGGUCAUUAAGCUGCAUAGCUUAGUGAUGAAAGGAGACGCCUGCGGAGAGCCUUGCGUCCUAUUAGCUAGUUGGAGGGGUAACGGCCCACCAAGGCGAAGAUAGGUAGCCGGCCUGAGAGGGUGGACGGCCACAAGGGGACUGAGAUACGGCCCUUACUCCUACGGGAGGCAGCAGUGGGUAAUAUUGGACAAUGGGGGCAACCCUGAUCCAGCAAUUCUGUGUGCACGAAGACGGUUUUCGGAUUGUAAAGGGCUUUCAGCAGGGAAGAAGGAAGUGACGGUACCUGCAGAAGAAGCGACGGCUAAAUACGUG
rnacentral:rRNA from 1 species